GAUGAACGCUGGCGGUAUGCUUAACACAUGCAAGUCGAACGGACUCUUCGGAGUUAGUGGCGGACGGGUGAGUAACGCGUGAGAAUCUGGCUUUGGGUUCGGGACAACCACUGGAAACGGUGGCUAAUACCGGAUGUGCCGAGAGGUAAAAGAGAAAUUGCCUGAAGAUGAGCUCGCGUCUGAUUAGCUAGUUGGUGAGGUAAAGGCUCACCAAGGCAGCGAUCAGUAGCUGGUCUGAGAGGAUGACCAGCCACACUGGGACUGAGACACGGCCCAGACUCCUACGGGAGGCAGCAGUGAGGAAUUUUCCGCAAAGGGCGAAAGCCUGACGGAGCAAUACCGCGUGAGGGAAGAAGGCUCUUGGGUUGUAAACCUCUUUUCUUAGGGAAGAACAAAAUGACGGUACCUAAGGAAUCAGCAUCGGCUAACUCCGUG
rnacentral:rRNA from 1 species